AAAGAAAAAAAAAAAAAGGAGCAAAACAGAAAGGAAGAAAAAGCAAACCAGCAAACCCUUCUUCAUUGAGUAAAAAUUUCCAUUGACAGUGUCCCACUUGGUAUUACCUGGGAAAAAUAGAAAAUGUUCCCUUCACCUGAUUUUGAGAAGUGAUAAAGUGAAACCUGUUUCUCUAAAGCAGUGGUGGGAUCAGAGCUGGCCAUGAUAUCCCAGCUGUCAUCACCCUCCAGUGAGGAGGGAAACGAGGGAGAAGCAGCCGCCCGUGGCACAAGUGCAGGAGAGACUUGAUGGUCCAUUUGUCUCCACGGACUCCAGCUGAGCAAAAGCCUGGAGGUCCUUGGCAGCUGAGCUAGGGGCUGUACGCACGUAAUAAGACAAGUGGUCUUCUCUGCAGUUCAAGAAGAGAGAAACAAGAGCUGGAAACCAAGAAGCAUUGUAUAAAGCACAGUAUGUGCUUGAUGAAGGAGGAUGUACUUCUGUUCAACAGCCCAUCCUUUAGUCGAAGGACAGCAGGCCUACUGGUGCUGACAGCAGAUGGCUCAGAAUAUUCUCACAGGAGAGCAUGAAGUAACUGGAGAGAUUGGAUAAUUGCAUUCAUGCUGUUGGCCCUGGAGUCCAGAGCUGUUACAGGCUGCGAAGGAGCGCAAAGAAAAGAGUUGACCACGAUGGAUGUGCAGCAGUAACGAGGUGAAAUUGCAGUGCCCUUUCCACAGAACUGAUAGCCUGUUAAAUAUUCCUCUGUAAACAGGAGUAAAUGAACAGGCAGAGAUGCCUCAGACGUCUGGCAAAAAUGUUGUUAAUUCAGAUGUGUGGCUGGGGUUGAACAAGUGGCGCAAAGCUGAGAGCUGUCUUGUGUUCAGUUUGUUUAUUUUUAAAAGCUUGUGCUUCCUCCCAUUUGUCUUGGCCAUUCUGUUGAAUAUAUUCAACAAAGAAAUAGGAACUGUGUACAACUGGAAGCAUUUCCAGAUGGGUUCUGUGUUACAAGAGGAAAUACAAUCUGUUGGACACAUAUAACAAUAUAUAGAAACAAAGGCUAUACACCUCUGGCUUGAAAGUACAUUUAGCAUAGUAAAUCCUCAGAGUACACCUGAAGGAGUGAAAUGUGCUCACCAUCAGCACAUGUUGCUGCUAGUGCCUCCCUCAAAUAAAAUUUUCAAGGAGGCAGGGUAUAGGAGUGAGAAUAAACUAUUAAAUGCCUUGCUAUCUCUCAAGCCAAGUGACAGAAUUUCUGCUGGAGAACUGAGCUGUUUUGCUUCUUAUCUUAUAUAUGUAGAGCUGGAAACACAUAUGAGAACACAAUAUCAGAACCAAACCCCAGACCCUGAUGUGUUGGCUCUGUAAGCUUCCUCCAGGGGAUUUUACAGAAACCAUGGCUUCAUGUCUCGUUGCACAUGUCUAAAUAAGUAGUAAAGACAAGAAUUUUGCAUUAGAGAUGGUACAGUACAACAGCAAGGUUAUUAAUUUAUUUGCCCCUGGCAAAAGCAUUUCAUGGCUGUAGCCAUCAGCUCCAAUUAUUUGUUACAGCGUCUCGACUUCUUUGAGUAUUGUUUAUCCAACAGUAUUUAUGUGGAAGCUCAUUUGUGAGAGGUUUAAACAUUUUUUACAGGGUGAAGUUGGUAUGUGUUUAGCAUAAAUACAAAUUAUUUUAGAGAAGGAGGGGAAGACACAGACCAAAAUUGGCUGUAAACAGCUGCUGAAUUCACAACAGGGAGCUGGACUUAAAUGGGUUUUAAUACUUCAGAUUCCUCCCCAGUCCUUUUAUUUUCUCUAAAGCAAUUGCCAGCAAAACCACAUCUUAUUUCCCCUUGCUGAGACAGACCUAAGCAUCCCCCAUUCUUUGAGAAUGUCCAAAUUCCUGUAGGCAGACGCCCAGGAAUGUGUAAUUUAAAAACAACAAAAAGAAAGUAAAUAGAUGAGGAGAAGAAAAAUAUGAUAGCUGCAAGGGUAAUACUGCAUUCAUAACCAGUUAAAAAAAUAGACAAAUAUAAAGUGUCCUCCUGACUGUAAAACCUUAGCAGGUAGGUAUUAGCACUCGAUUUAUAUUCUUACAUAUUUGAUAGGUAAAAAAUUUGAUUUGCAUCUCAUAUGCAUACUGCUGCUAUUUUUGCAUGUCAUCUUACAACAGAUGCUGCUCUGUAGAAAUGACAGGUGGAUAAAACCCAGAUUCUUUUAUGAGAAUGAGAAUUUCUGGAAGUUUUUAUCCUCCCUCAAAAAAAAAAAAAA